UCGAUUAUACUUGUAGAUGGCGUUAAGUGUCAAGAGUGUGUGUUAAGAUUUAUGGCUCGAUAGCGACACUUAACGCCAAUCUACAAAUAAUCGAUGGCUAGAAGGCAUUUUUGUGGCGCCAUCUAUGUGUUGUGUAGUGUAUGCGCGUUCUUAGGCGGUCGCAUUUUAAUGUAUGGGCUGGAUGAUCUUCUUAUAUUUAAUCUAUGAUGUAUGCCAAGUGUGUAUCGACGUAUACACGUCUACUCCGUGAGCCUAAAACCUUAUUGUCUAUGCCUUAACACUAUUCCGUACAAAAUCAGUACAUUUCUUUUCAGUCGCCACUCUGUGACGUGUCACUAAGCCUACCUACACAUCGGUCACACAAUUUAAAGUCACUCCUGCGGACAUACCGGAUAUGUUAAACGAAAAAGAACGCUAAGCACGAAGAGUGAAAUAUACAAAGAUGGAGUCAAAAUUUCCUAUCAUAAACUAUUUGACCAAUAGGCAACUUGACUGUAGUUAAA